AGUCCACUGAACCUUAUCAUUUAGAGGAAGGAGAAGUCGUAACAAGGUUUCCGUAGGUGAACCUGCGGAAGGAUCAUUGUCGAUGCCUGCAAAGCAGAACGACCCCCGAACCGUUUCUCAAUGCUCGGGACAUCGGAGGGCGCCCAGCCACCCCGUAUCCCGAACGCUUCGGACGUUGGGGGUGCGGCCCCCCCCGGGGGGGGAGCGGUCAAACACACCCCGGCGUGCAAAGCGCCAAGGUACUCGAACUACAGGGCAAGCACCCGUCGGCCUGGACUCCAGCGCGAACGGGNNNACGCAGCGAAAUGCGAUACUUGGUGUGAAUUGCAGAAUCCCGUGAACCAUCGAGUCUUUGAACGCAAGUUGCGCCCGAAGCUUCGGCCGAGGGCACGCCUGCCUGGGUGUCACACAUCCCCUCGCCUCCAAAACCUUCGCCAUCGUAAACGCCGUGGCGAUGGUUCGGAUGCGGAAGCUGGCCUCCCGUGUCCACGAGGCACGGAUGGCCCAAAUAUCGGCUGGGGAAGCGAAGCGCCACGGCUCUCGGUGGUUGGCACAGCCCUUCGAGGCGAUGAAGCCCGUGGCAGCCGCGACGGUACCCGGUGUACGACCCUAAUCGUUAACCAACGCGACCUCAGGUCAGGCGGGGCUACCCGCUGAGUUUAAGCAUAUCAAUAAGCGGAGA
rnacentral:rRNA from 1 species